AGAAAAAUGGCGGUCGGCUUCAUUCCGCCGCCACUAUGUGUACGAAGAAUUAAUAAAACAGAUUUACCUUGCAAAUUAACUUAUUGUUUUUUACUAUCUUUAAAGUGCUUACUGGUUUUUAAUUAUAAGCAGAAGGUUUAACUAUUAGCGUCACAUACGUAAAAAUAAUCAUGUUUUAUAUUUGCGUACCUACUUAAGUUUCGCUGUUCAAUGUGUUAUUGUGUCCCAGAUUGCGACCUGGAUAAUAAUAACGGGCCUUGAAAUAUCAAAAUUUUAGUUGGAAGUAAUUUAAUCAGCGUCGAUGUCCUCGGAAGACGUAAAUACAAAUGCCGUUUCCAGUUACCGGCUUCCUUGUGGGAGCUCCGAGAAGUAUUGAAGAGUGUCCGCUGAAUAUCGUCGAGUAAAACAACCGGAGAUGAGACUUGUGUGCAGGCUUCUAUCUAUAUUUGUACUAAUAUUAUUAUAGUGUGGAGUGGAGUGGAGUGUGGAUUAUGCUCCAAUCUUUAUUCUGCAUGAAGAAAGAGGCCUAUGCCCAGCAGUGGGUUGUUACACUGAAAGCGUAUGAAAAUCCAUUACAUAAAUCACAUUCAUAAAAGUUGUGUGUAUUUUUAUAUAAUCCGGCCUGAGUUUUUUCAGUUUUCUCCGCAAACAUGCUACAAUAACAGUCACUGUUUUCGUUUUUCUUAUGUAAUGUAAAUAUAUAGACAAAAUUAAUAACUCAGUUACAACACUAAUAAAACUAUACCGCAUAAAUAUAUUUUAUUUAUUAUAUAUAUAUU
rnacentral:misc_RNA from 1 species